rnacentral:lncRNA from 1 species
UUUGAGCUUCUUUGACACAAAGGUCCCGUAAGAGAUCAUGAAUUCUACAUGUUUUAAUUUUGCCAUUAGACCCUUUCCUUUGAACCAAAAUAAGACUUCUAUGAACAAGAUCCAAAAAGUACUCCUCUCCUACAUCUUCCAACGUUUUAGAGCAUGCUGGUUUGAGGAUUCCCUCUGCAACCCACAACUUGGUAAGUACGUUGACUUUGAUGUCAAAAUCUUCUGGAAAAAUUCCCAUAUAGAGGAAGCACCCUUUCAAAUGAUGAGGCAAAUGUUUAUAACUUAAAGAAAGUAUCUUAGAGCAUUGCUCGUCAUUUGAAGUUAUUUCUGAACUUAAAUUUUUUGCAAUACUACUCCAGUAAUGUGGUGUUCUAGUGGCCUUUGAUAGGAGGCCCCCAAUCACAACAACUGCAAGUGGAAGUCCUCGACAAUUUUGAGCAAUCUUCUUGCCAAUUUCUUCCAAUUCAAGAGGGCAACAACAUUCUCCAAACACCUUCUGACAAAAUAAAUUCCAACUUUCUUUGUCAUUCAGAAAACGCACAUGAUGAAGAGGAGAACCAGAGUUGAUAUAAUUAGCCACAUUCUCUAGCCUAGUAGUCAAAAGGAUUCGACUUCCAGUUUUGUCGUCUGGAAAAUAUAUUUUCACAUUGUUCCAGUUGACGUUGGAAAAGUGAUGCACCUGAGAAGAUAGGGGAACUUAUGGUUAUAUCCUACUCGACAUUUUAAUGAUUCAAGUUUAGUCAGACGGGAAAGGUUAUUCAUAUAGUAAUUUUCCCAAUCUUUCCCCAGAUUAUCAUAAUUUAUAGCCAAUUUCUUUAAAUUCGGAAUUCUUUUGAGAACCUCCUCCGUCCAGCUAAAAUUAUAUAAUAUCGAGAGGGUUUGUAGGUUUUCUAGAACAACAAUAGAAUUUUCUUCCCCCUUAAUUUCUGAACUGGGAGGAUCAGGAAGAUGUAUGUAACCAUUCAACUUGACAUGUCUUAAAUGUGGCAUCUUCCAUAUUUCUGGUGACAGUUUAAUGGACCUGCGAUCUUCCAAAUAAACCAUUGUUUGUAGAUUCCGAAGCUUAUAUAGUGAAGCAUUGACGGACUGUACAGAGAAUUGAUUGUAGCAAUAGAUGUACCGCAUGUUAACCAAAUCUUCCAUUUCAUCUAGCCAAAGAUGACGUCCCUCCAUGUGCAGUACUUUAAGUGGCCUAGAAUCGAAAGAAAUUUCUUCAGGUGGAAAGUGAGACCGCACCACUAAAGAAGAUAGCGUCUUGUCAUCACCCUGGAGCGUCCCUUUAGUUGCAUGGUAAAAUUGCGCUUCCUCUAAAGACGAUAGAGAAUUCUUCUCAACAUGAAUACUUACACGGCGCUUAUCAGUGCUUCCUUGAAUACCAUAAGGACCCCCUUUAACGACGUGGAAAAACUUCUCUUUUUGAGCUUCUUUGACACAAAGGUCCCGUAAGAGAUCAUGAAUUCUACAUGUUUUAAUUUUGCCAUUAGACCCUUUCCUUUGAACCAAAAUAAGACUUCUAUGACGUAUGCCACUGUCAUCCACAAUCUUCUCUGGCGGUGUCUUUGUGGUAUCAACUUCGAGAAUUAGUUUGGCUAUUUCAUGGAAUGAAAUUGUAAAGAUGCCACCACUUUGAGUUGCAGAUUCUUCAAAAACUCUUUCUGCAAUGCAGGAUUCAAUUAUAUCUUCAGUGUGACAUGUUGCAUCACUGAUCUUUCUCUCCAAACCUUCUAUUGAUUCGAUGUUUUCUCGUGGAAAAUUGUCGAGAAAAUCUUGCAAGUAACCCACUUUUCCCAGGAGAGAUUCUAUUUGUUGUUUCUCACCCGGAAGAAGAUAUGAACAAUCAUACUUCAAGGUGCGCUGAAGAACGUGAGUAAGAGAGAGAAGAGCAGCAUACGCCAUUUCUGUUUUCUUCAGGUGGAAAGUGAGACCGCACCACUAAAGAAGAUAGCGUCUUGUCAUCACCCUGGAGCGUCCCUUUAGUUGCAUGGUAAAAUUGCGCUUCCUCUAAAGACGAUAGAGAAUUCUUCUCAACAUGAAUACUUACACGGCGCUUAUCAGUGCUUCCUUGAAUACCAUAAGGACCCCCUUUAAUGACGUGGAAAAACUUCUCUUUUUGAGCUUCUUUGACACAAAGGUCCCGUAAGAGAUCAUGAAUUCUACAUGUUUUAAUUUUGCCAUUAGACCCUUUCCUUUGAACCAAAAUAAGACUUCUAUGAACAAGAUCCAAAAAGUACUCCUCUCCUACAUCUUCCAACGUUUUAGAGCAUGCUGGUUUGAGGAUUCCCUCUGCAACCCACAACUUGGUAAGUACGUUGACUUUGAUGUCAAAAUCUUCUGGAAAAAUUCCCAUAUAGAGGAAGCACCCUUUCAAAUGAUGAGGCAAA